rnacentral:rRNA from 1 species
UACGGGGGGGGCAAGCGUUGUUCGGAAUUACUGGGCGUAAAGGGCUCGUAGGUGGCCAACUAAGUCAGACGUGAAAUCCCUCGGCUUAACCGGGGAACUGCGUCUGAUACUGGAUGGCUUGAGUUUGGGAGAGGGACGCGGAAUUCCAGGUGUAGCGGUGAAAUGCGUAGAGAUGUGGAGGAACACCUGUGGCGAAAGCGGCUCUCUGGAACGGUACUGACGCUGAGACGCGAAAGCGUGGGGAGCGAACAGG